rnacentral:rRNA from 1 species
CCUACGGGAGGCAGCAGUGGGGAAUAUUGCACAAUGGGGGGAACCCUGAUGCAGCGACGCCGCGUGAGUGAAGAAGUAUCUCGGUACGUAAAGCUCUAUCAGCAGGGAAGAAAAUGACGGUACCUGACUAAGAAGCCCCGGCUAACUACGUGCCAGCAGCCGCGGUAAUACGUAGGGGGCAAGCGUUAUCCGGAUUUACUGGGUGUAAAGGGAGCGUAGACGGCACUGCAAGUCCGCAGUGAAAGCCCAAGGCUUAACCAUGGGACUGCUCUGGAAACUGUGGAGCUUGAGUGCGGGGGGGGUAUGCGGAAUUCGUGGUGUAGCGGUGAAAUGCGUAGAUAUUACGAAGAACACCGGCGGCGAAGGCAGCCUGCUGGACCGUUACUGACGUUGAGGCUCGAAGGCGUGGGGAGCAAACAGGAUUAGAUACCCUAGUAGUC